rnacentral:rRNA from 1 species
AACGAACGCUGGCGGCGUGCCUAACACAUGCAAGUCGUGCGAGAAAGUUCCUUCGGGAGCGAGUAAAGCGGUGCACGGGUGAGUAACACGUAGGUAACCUGCCCCCCAGUCUGGAACAACUAGAGGAAACUCUAGCUAAUGCCGGAUGAGACCACGAUCCCUUCGGGGGUUGCGGCCAAAGAUGGCCUCUACUUGUAAGCUAUCGCUGAGGGAUGGGCCUGCGGCCAUUAGCUUGUUGGUGAGGUAACGGCUCACCCAAGGCUGUGAUGGCUAGCUGGUCUGAGAGGAUGACCAGCCACACUGGGACUGAGACACGGCCCAGACUCCUACGGGAGGCAGCAGUGGGGAAUAUUGGACAAUGGGCGAAGCCUGAUCCAGCAAUGCCGCGUGUGUG